rnacentral:rRNA from 1 species
GAUGAACGCUGGCGGCGUGCUUAAUACAUGCAAGUCGAACGGACAGGCCCUGCUCUUGUGGGGUGCUCGAGUGGCGAACGGGUGAGUAACACGUGAGUAACCUGCCCUUGACUUUGGGAUAACUUCAGGAAACUGGGGCUAAUAUAGGAUAGGAGCUCCUGCUGCAUGGUGGGGGUUGGAAAGUUUCGGCGGUUGGGGAUGGACUCGCGGCUUAUCAGCUUGUUGGUGGGGUAGUGGCUUACCAAGGCUUUGACGGGUAGCCGGCCUGAGAGGGUGACCGGCCACAUUGGGACUGAGAUACGGCCCAGACUCCUACGGGAGGCAGCAGUGGGGAAUAUUGCACAAUGGGCGGAAGCCUGAUGCAGCAACGCCGCGUGCGGGAUGACGGCCUUCGGGUUGUAAACCGCUUUCGCCUGUGACGAAGCGUGAGUGACGGUAAUGGGUAAAGAAGCACCGGCUAACUACGUG